rnacentral:rRNA from 1 species
GACGAACGCUGGCGGUGUGCUUCACACAUGCAAGUCGAACGGGGUAGCAAUACCCAGUGGCGGACGGGUGAGUAACGCGUAGAAAUCUGCCUUGAGAUGGGGGAUAACAGUCCGAAAGGACUGCUAAUACCGCAUAUGUAUGUAUCUCGACAGAGGUGUAUAUGAAAGGAGUAAUCCGUCUUAAGAUGAGUCUGCGUCCGAUUAGCUAGUUGGUAGGGUAAAGGCCUACCAAGGCGACGAUCGGUAGCUGGUCUGAGAGAUGAUCAGACCACAAUGGGACUGAGACACGG